rnacentral:rRNA from 1 species
CCUACGGGAGGCAGCAGUGGGGAAUAUUGCACAAUGGGAAACCCUGAUGCAGCGACGCCGCGUGAGUGAAGAAGUAUUUCGGUAUGUAAAGCUCUAUCAGCAGGGAAGAAAGAAAUGACGGUACCUGACUAAGAAGCCCCGGCUAACUACGUGCCAGCAGCCGCGGUAAUACGUAGGGGGCAAGCGUUAUCCGGAUUUACUGGGUGUAAAGGGAGCGUAGACGGCGAUGCAAGUCUGAAGUGAAAGGCGGGGGCCCAACCCCUGGACUGCUUUGGAAACUGUAUGGCUGGAGGGCAGGAGAGGUAAGUGGAAUUCCUAGUGUAGCGGUGAAAUGCGUAGAUAUUAGGAGGAACACCAGUGGCGAAGGCGGCUUACUGGACUGUAACUGACGUUGAGGCUCGAAAGCGUGUGGAGCAAACAGGAUUAGAUACCCCAGUAGUC